CCUGCUUUACCCAUUUCAAAUGUCACAGCAAAUGCUGUGAAUACAGCCCAGCAAUUUUUGCUCACAGGAAGAAGCGCUACAUGAGAGCAUCUUGUCAACGCUCCCCCUAGGAAGACUUAUCUAUGCAGGUGCCAGCACCUGGAAGAGGAGUAACUGUUGGAUUCCUCAUUCCCUCCUUGUUCCAGGAGCCUGUGCAAGACCAUCUCCAUCAUGAUCAUCGGAUACCAGCUCUCUGUAACAUAACAGGAAGAAAAGUUGAAUUUUUUCCAGUGAGCGGAAGUUCUUGUGAAACAUAGUCAGAAACACGGGGCGACCUCAUCGAAGUGGACCAUUGAGUUUCAGUCUAAAUGCUAGAACAUCCCCGAAGUAAUCCCCUCCAGCCACUCUACAGACCUGAUCUCAGUUCAGUGGUGGAGAAGGGAAUUUCCUAGAUGUGUGAAGCGUCUUUGGGAAGACAGGGGAGAAAAUGACAAGCAGAAAUAUAAAAUCAUACAGCGGGAGCCAUUGCACGAAUCAAGAGAGAGGAGUGGUCCUGGUGGCUGAGGGUCAGCACCCUGUGGCAGGGGAAGCACUCACAGACCAAGAGGUUUAGUAAGAUCUUGACAUUCCUACAGUCCUAUGUAACUUAUUAACCACCAAGCAAGCAGCCUGCUGCCCUGCAGGAGAACAGGCAGGCUGGGGUACGGGGAGGAGAGAAGUUUGCUCAGCUAGCAGAAGUCCCAAGGCUGAAGCUCCAGGCCUCCUUUCCAUACGUGCUCCAGUGCUGUCUGAGUUGCUUCACAAGGACUUUCUGCUCAUGCUCUGCCAGACAGUCUGGAGACAGUUUGCUGGAGGAGUGGGAAAGAAACCAGGAAACACUUCAGGUCACCUCCUUCCCCUGCCACCUCCCUGCGAAAAGCUAGAGGAUGACCUUGCAGAGAACUGCAAAGAUCUGUGGUCCUGGUGAAGCUUGACGAGAAGCCAGUGAGGAGCAUCACUCCGGGUUAAGGGUGGGCUGCUGGGAUGCGUGGGGAGGAGAUCCCACCCUUCCUCUGUCCGGGUGCCCAGUGAAAAUCAUGUUGGAUCAUGCUUUUGAAGCAGAUGACAAAGGGAAACUUCUUGCAAUCAUCUUUCCAGAGGGUACCUCCAGAUCACAGGCAGCGCGUGGAAACAACUGGGAAAAUAAAGCCCUGCCACAACAGCUUUGCUAAUUUUUCUUGGAAAUGCCUUGGUAUUGCUUUGAAAACUACUAUGAAAACAACCGAUGGCUCCUUGGGACUGUCCAGGAUGGCAGAACUGGAAUCCAUUUCCAUCACUGCAUUAAAAUUCAUGGAAGGCACAAACGAGUUGCUGAGAUUUUCAUGCCACUGUCACCAGGAGCUGAAUAAAAAUCAUAUUAAAUUUACUUUACAUUCUGCAACAGCUGGCAGCCAUGUCUUGAAGUGUUUUUCAAGCCAGUGGGCUAAAGAAUAAUCAGGAUCCUUUCAAGUCAAGGCGUUUUCCUGUUAAUUUAAUGUGGUUGGCUUUGCCAGUGGGACAGAUUUUCCAACAUGCUCAGCUGUUUUCUGAGUCUGGCCUCUUCUUUUGGUGCCUGAGCUGAAGAGAAGUUCCUUAAUAAAAUAAAUGACCCCAUGAUUUCCUGGGAUGCCAUCUCAGGCAGUCUCAGUCACUGUCUGGAGGUGCUGGAUGAUGCCACCAUACAGGGACCAAGCUCAUCCUGCACCAGCCCAGCACAACCCCAGGAACAGCACCCAAACCUCCCAGAUUUGUAAUAAUCCUGGAAAUAUGACAGAUCUGCUGUAUUUUAUUUUGGUGAUGCAAAAAGUGUAAAGCAUGCAAAAAGAAGAGUAUUCCUCUCUCUCUGUUUUUCCCCCUUCUUUCCUCCCUGAAAAUGUUAUCCCAGCCUAAAAAAGCUUU